rnacentral:tRNA from 4 species
AGUCCCGUGGGCGAAUGGUUGAAGCCGUCAGCCUCUCAAGCUGGAGAUGCGAGUUCAAAUCUCGUCGGGACUCCCA